GCGCCUAUAGCUCAAUUGGAUAGAGUAUCUGGCUUCGAACCAGACGGUUGGGGGUUCAAGUCCCUCUGGGCGCACCA
rnacentral:tRNA from 1 species